ACCUUACAUUGAUCAGAACAUUUGACUUAAAAUGGAAUAUUAGAUAAAAACCUAUAUUCUUUUCAAUACUCAGAUUUGUGUUAAAUAAAUUCAAAGUUAGCAUAUACUCAGUAAUCCUAAUUGAGCAUGACUUGCUUUCAAAAUUUAACAGGCAUUCUUUUCAGAUGUGGAAAUGUGCAUUUUCAGCCUAAGUUGGUACUCACUUCCUACUGAUCGGUAUGCCAGUCAAUUUCACAGGGUUGUGAUUUUUGAGUUUUAUUUUCCAGUUGAAAAGCCUGUGUGUUUUUUCUUCUCCUAUUCUAUUCCUCUGUAGUACCAGUAGCAGAAUCUUGUGUCGUGCCUGCUCUGAGAUGUUUGCCAGCAGCAUGUUCUCUUUGCUUUCCGGCACCCCACACAGAUAGAGGCUUUGUCUGGAAUGUUUGUGAUUUUAGCCAGAGCCAGGAAUUUUUUGCAGCUGAGUAGGGGGAGGAGUUGUGUCUGUUUCCCUCUAUUGAG
rnacentral:lncRNA from 1 species